rnacentral:lncRNA from 1 species
AGAGAGGCCACGUGAGUCAUGAACCGCAAAUGACUGAUGUGGAUAAUCAUUGAUGACUUUGAAGAUUGCUAUUUAGGUAGAGUAAUGGAGGUAGAAAUCAAAGGAGAUUGAGAAGGGAGUGGGAGGCCAACAAAAUGGAAAUGAAAGAAACUGCUAAACAGGAUACACUGUGGCAAAUGAGCUCAACUAGCAAACCCGUGUUGAAUACUCGUGAAGUCAAUCCUUUGAAGAAAUUCACCAUUCCUAAGAUCAGGAGGACAGCUGAGAAAGAAUAGAUGCACGUUCUGCAUCCUUCCCACUAAGUACACCUAAAAACCCUGGACAUUUUUAUGAAACAAAUAUGAAAAGACUUUCGAAACUGGAGAGAAGACCAACCAACUAGGGAAUGUGAGACUCAGG